UACGUAGGGCGCAAGCGUUGUCCGGAAUUAUUGGGCGUAAAGAGCUCGUAGGCGGCUUGUCACGUCGGGUGUGAAAGCCCGGGGCUUAACCCCGGGUCUGCAUUCGAUACGGGCUGGCUAGAGUGUGGUAGGGGAGAUCGGAAUUCCUGGUGUAGCGGUGAAAUGCGCAGAUAUCAGGAGGAACACCGGUGGCGAAGGCGGAUCUCUGGGCCGGUACUGACGCUGAGGCGCGAAAGCGUGGGGAGCAAACAGG
rnacentral:rRNA from 1 species